rnacentral:rRNA from 1 species
GCGCAAAUUACUCUAUGUUGUAUCGACCAAGUACGACGAGAAAUAACGACGUGGAGCGCUCAACGUUCUACAAUCGGAAUGAGAGCCACGUAAAAGCCUCAUCGAGGAUCCAUUGGAGGGCCCCUCUGGUGCCCGCAGCCGCGGUAAUUCCCGCCCCAAUANGAUAUAUUAACGUUGUUGCAGUUGAAAAGCUCGUAGUUGAACUUUUGGUAGAGCGUGAUCUCCCUUUGGGCGAAUGCCCAUCGAGCGAGNGUCCCGCUUGGCCAUCCUUCCUCAUGUCGCCUUUUGGCGCUGUGCGGAUCCUUUACUGUGAGUAAACUGGAGUGCUCAAAACAAGACGCCCGUUUGGUACAUUAAAGCAUGGAAUAAUAAGAUACCGCCUACCUACUAUUUUCCUGGUCUGCACAGGUGGGUAAUGAUUAACAGGGACAGUUGGGGGUAUUCGUAUUUAAUUGUCAGAGGUGAACUUCUUGGAUUUAUGAAAGACCAACGANUGCGAAAGCAUUUACCAUGGAUGUUUUCAUUAAUCAAGAACGAAAGUUAGGGGAUCGAAGAUGAUUA